rnacentral:lncRNA from 1 species
CUAGAGCCCCCAUUUGCUGAAUAACAAGCCUCCUUGUUUCAUUUUUCACAAACAUUUCUUCCCUCUGUUCUCUCCACUGGGUCUAUGAACAAGGGUUUGCUCUCUGUCGGUGCUUUGGCGUUCUUCUCCUGCAGAUAUAUUCACAAGAAGUCAUCUUGGUUCACAGCCUCAUGAUGAAGAGGGCUCAGGGGCCAGAGGGCUGAUUAUGGUUCUAAUUUGCAAUUAUACAGUGAUUUUUCACACUGCUCAUGAAUGCUGACUUCCUCCCUGUUUGGGUUGGAGAGUUAGAGGGAUCUGAUUUGAUUGAAGCAGUAUAGGCUGUGAUUAUCAUAAGAAUUUGGCAUAGUAAAUUGAAUUGGGAAGUAUUGGGCAACAAAUGUAAAUUAUUUCCUUUCAUUUGUCACUCCUACACAACUGUAUAUUUACUGUUUGUGGCUGACCCUGUGUAGAAAAGUGAAAUGACUUAAUCCUAAUGCCUUUGAAAUGGGAACUGUUGAGACACCUGAGUGGUCUCUUUGAAUUCAAGAUGCAAACAGAUUGCGCUGCUGUUUGGAGGGAGCAUGGAGCUGAAACAAUAUCCCUGGAGUCUAGUAGUUUUUUUUUUUUUAAGUUCAAGUGCUCUAGGCCCACCUACUGUGGUUCUAGAUGGAUGUUUUAAAUAUUUGCAUUUUAAAAUAUUUUAAAAACUCUUAUUUCUGUGUAAUAAAAAAGUUCGGCCAGGCGCAGUGGCUCAUGCCCAUAAUCCCAGCACUUUGGGAGGCCGAGGUGGGCAGAUCACCAAAGGUCAGGAGUUUGAGACCAGCCUGGUCUACUUGGUGAAACCCUGUCUCUACUGAAAAUACACAAAAAAAAAAAAAAACAACAGCUGGGUGUGGUGAUGGGUGCCUGUUAUCCCAGCUACUGGGGAGGCUGAGGCAGGAGAAUUGCUUGAACCUGGGAGGUGGAGGAUGCAGUGAGCUGAGAUCGUGCCACUGCACUUCAGCCUGGACGAAAAAAUGAAAACGUUGGCUUGCCUUUGUCCUGGGUUCUUAGAAGGUAGAUAACCUGUAAAUAAUUGGAAUUUUCUGAUUGAGAAGAGUGUCUUCGUUUUUCAUGGUGGACCUCAAUAGUUUAAGCUAAUGAGAUGACUCAAUAUGGGAGCGGGCCACACUAGGAAGAACCAUGGUGUGAUUAGAGGGAUGGGGUUUUUAGCCAUGUGAUAUCACUCCUCAGAGGAAGAGGAGACGGGGCAUAGCCAAUGAUUCAAUCGAUUGCUCCUACAAAGUAAGACCCCAAUAAAAGCUCUAGACACUGUAAUUUAGGUGAGCUUCCCUGAUUGGCAAUACCUUGUGUAUUGUCACAUAUUAAUGUGCGGGGAGGGCAAUAAGCCCUGACUCCACUAGGAGAAGACAAUGGAAGUUUUGCAUCUGGAACCCUCUCAGACCUUGGCCUAUGUAUUCUCCUUGUGGCUGGUUCUGAUUCAUAUCCUUGUGCUAUAAUAAAACUACAAUUGUAAGUACAGAACUUUCCUGAGUUCUGUGAGUCAUUCUAGUGAGUUAUCAAACUUGAGGGGGUAACGAGCACUCCCGAGUUUGUAGCCAGUUGAUCAGAUGUGAGAGUGGCCUGGGGACCCCCAAACUUGCAGCUGGUGUCUGAAGUGAAGGCAGUCUUCUGGAGGAUUAUACCCAUGGCUUGUGAAGUUUGGCCUAACUCUGGAUAGUUGGUCUUAGAAGUCAUUGCAAUUUCUUUAACUUUUUAUCUUGAAAAAUUUAAAACUUAAAGAAAAUUUGCAAGUGUAGUACAAUGAAUACCCAUAUACUUUUCACUUAGAGUCUCCAAUUUGUUAAUGCAUUCCCAUAUUUGUGUCAUUUCUCUUUCUGUAUAUACUUUUUUUUUUCCUGAACCAAUUGAAAGUUGCAAACAUGUCAUCCCUAAACACUUCAGUACAUACCUUCUGAGAACCAGGACAUUCUCCUACAUAAUUCCAAUAGCAUGAUCACUCACAAGAAAUUUAGCAUUGAUACAAUAAUAUUAUCUAAUAUGUUUCUAUUUUCCCUAUUGUCCUUAAAAUAACCCUUAUAAUUUUUUCCUUUCAAUUUAGGAGGAUCCAGUCAAGGGUCAUGUAUUCCUUUGGUUGUUAUGUCUCCUUGGUUUCCUUAAAUCAAGAUUCCAGAACUGUCUCCUUGCUUUAUUUGUUUUUGAGACAGAGUCUUGCUCUGUUGCCCAGAUAGGAGUACAGUGGCACGAUCUUGGCUCACUGCAACCUCCACCUCCCGGGUUCAAGCAAUUCUCCUGCCUCAGCCUGCCCAGUAGCUGGGAUUACAGGCGCCUGCCACUGUGCUUAGCUAAUUUUUGUAUUUUUAAUAGAGACGGGGUUUCACCAUGUUGGCCAGGCUGGUCUGGAACUCCUGACCUUUCAGGUGAUCCACCCCCCUCGGCCUCCCAGAGUGCUGGGAUUACAGGCGUGAGCCACUGCGCCUGGCCUGUCUCCUUGUUUUUUUGUUUUUUUUUGAGACAGAGUCUCUCUCUGUCGCCCAGGCUGUAGUGCAGUGGCGCGGAUCUCGGCUCACUGCAAGCUCCGCCUCCCGGGUUCAUGCCAUUCUCCUGCCUCAGCCUCCCGAAUAGCUGGGACUACAGGCGCCCGCCACCGCACCCAGCUAAUUUUUUGUAUUUUUAGUAGAGACGGGGUUUCACUGUGUUACCCAGGAUGGUCUCAAUCUCCUGACCUUGGAUUACAGGCGUGAGCCACUGCGCCCAGCCUUGUUUUUUAUUUUAAUUUAAUUUAAUUUUGUCUGUAAUGAAAUUGACGCUUUUGAAAGGGCCACACUACCUGACUUGUAUAUUGUAAAUUGUAAUCUCAAUUUGUCUGAUUGUUUUCUCGUAAUUAGAUUCAGAUUAUAUAUCCUUAGCAAGAAUACAAACUAUGUAGAUGAUGUGUUGAUGAAAAGUUUGUACUAGUGUGAUGUCAACCAAGAUGGCAGAGUAGAAGAUCCCUUGGCAUCACUCCUCUCAAAAAAAUACAACUAGAAACUAUUCAAGACCAGAAUACCACCCUGAGUUCACCAACACACCAACACUUGGAGGAGAAGUGGAGAAAACCCUGGACGAACAGAAUUGAGAAAAUCUGUGACCGUUUCAGUGGAGACCAUGUGGAGAUCCAGUAUUCCUACUACUACUCAGCAAGCAGUAUCAAGAAGUUCCCUACCUUUGGUGUCAACAGAAGCUGAGUAGAAACCUGAACGUCCAUCUACAGCUAGCAAUAAUGAGAGGUAUGGGAUGGAGUGCCCCUCCUUUUGCACCUGCUGGAGUGGUAUCAGAAAAAUCAGUUAAAACAGAAGGCUUAAAUAAGAUCCAGAAUUUCUGAAAAUAAUUUGAAAAUGUCUAGGUUUCAACAAAAAGGCAUGCAUCAUACCAAGAACUAGGAAGGUCUCAAACUUAGUGGAAAAAGAUGAUCAAUAGAUGAUGCUAAUACUGAGAUGCUGGUAUUAUCUGACAAAGAUUUAAAGCAGCUAUCAGAUCCUUCAGUGAACAGUUAUGAACAUUACUGGAACGAAUGAAAAAACAAAAAGGCUCAGCAAAUAAACUGAAAGUCUCAGUAAAGAAAUGGAAGGUGUAAAGAAAUAAAUAGAAAUUUCAGAACUGAAAACACAUAAACUAAAAUACAAACUCAGUGAAUGGGCUCAAUAGCAUAAUAGAGGAAAGAAUCAAAGACCUAUAAAACACAACAACAGAAAUUAUUCAAUCUGGACAACACAGAAAAUGACUGAAAAAAGUGAACAGAGCGUCAAGGACCUGUGGGACUAUAACAAAAUAUCCAACAUUCAUAUCACUGGAGUCCCAGAAUGAGAGAAAAAAGACAGAUAAAAAAUAAUGGUUGAAAUCAUUCCAAAUUUGGCAAGAGGCAUUAGCUACAGACUCAAAAAGGUGAGAAAGCCUCAAAUAGGAUAAACCCAAAGAAUCCCACACCAAGAAGCAUCAUAAUUAAGUUUCUGAAAACUAAAAAAGUGAAGACAUCUUGAAGGCAGUAAAAAGAAAAACAACACUUUACCUAUGGGGAGAAAUAAUUUGAAUGACAGCAGAUUUCUUAUCAGAGACCGUGGAGUCAAGAAGUAAGUGGCACAAUAUUUUUCAAGUGCUGAAAGAAAAGAACUGUCAACACAGAAUCCUAUACCUAAUGAAGAUAUCUUUCAGGAAUAAAGGGGAAAUCAAGACAUUCUCAGAUGAAGGGAAAGGAAGAUAAUUUGUCAUAAGUGGCAUAGCCUAAAAGAAAGACCAGAGGAGUUUCUGUAAAUAGAAAGGUGAUAAAAGAAGGAAACUUGGUGCAUCAGCAAGAAGAAAAGAAAAUGCAAAAAUAAGCAACACAUGGGUAGAAACAAGAGACUUUUCUUGCCUUGAGUUUUCUAAAUUAUAUUUGGGAAUUGAAACACAUUUUAUGUUUUUUAUUUAUUUUAUUUUACCUUUUUUUUGAGAUGAAGUCUCACUCCAUCACCCAGGCUGGGAGUGCAGUGGGACAAUCUCAGCUCACUGCAAACUCUGCCUCCUGGGUUCAAGUGAUUCUCCUGCCUCAGCCUCCCGAGUAGCUGGGAUUACAGGCAUGCACCACCAUGCCUGGUUAAUUUUUGUAUUUUUAGUAGAGAUGGGGGUUUUGCUAUGUUUGCCACGCUGUUCUUGAACUCCUGACCUUAAGUCAUCCGCCUGCCUCAGCCUCCCAUAGUGCUGUGAUUACUGGUGUGAGCCACCAUGCCCAGCCUGAAACAAAUUUUAAAACCCUGUCUGUUGUGGUUCUAAAUGUAUGAGGAAGAAAUAUUUAAGACCAUUAUAAAUAGGGAAAUAAAAGAAUAUAAAAGGAAAUCAAGUUUCUACACCUCACUCAAACUGGUAAGAUGAUGACAUCAGUAGACUUAUAAGUUAUGCAUAUGUUAUAUUUAGAACAACUAUUGAAAUUAUACAUGGAGACACACUCAAAAAUACCAUAAACAAAUCAAAAUGGAGUUAUAAAAAGUGUUCAUAUCGCUCACAGAAAGGCAGAAAAGAAAAAACAGAAAUGAAAAUCAGAGAAAACAAAAAGCAAAAUGUCAGACAAGCCCCAGCAUAUCAACAAUUACAAUAAAUAUAAAUGGCCAAAGUAUGUUUCAUUCUGCUGAAGCAAUGGCUAGAGUUGCCCCAAAAGUGGUAGCAAAGGAGUCCCCACAAGGGAGUACCCCCAAAGUAUCCCAAGAUGGGGCCAGUUGGGAUUCCAAAGAAAGAAGCAUUAAAUGCCAGGGUGAUCAGUUCAAGGCAUUUAUUAGGGGAACUUACAGAGCACUACAGCAUAUCCUCAGGUGGACAGUGAAAGAAAGGUAUGUUAUACCUAGGUAUGCCUAUGCCAAGAGGAUCAGGGCAUGGA